rnacentral:rRNA from 1 species
GUGCCAGCAGCCGCGGUAAUUCCUGUUCCAAUAGCGUAUAUUAAAGUUGUUGCAGUUAAAAAGCUCGUAGUUGAAACUUGGGCCUGGCUGGCGGGUCCGCCUCACCGCGUGCACUCGUCCGGCCGGGCCUUCCUUCUGAAGAGCCUCAUGCCCUUCACUGGGCGUGCUGGGGAAUCAGGACUUUUACUUUGAAAAAAUUAGAGUGUUCAAAGCAGGCCUUUGCUCGAAUACGUUAGCAUGGAAUAAUAAAAUAGGGCGUGCGUUUCUAUUUUGUUGGUUUCUAGAGACGCCGCAAUGAUUAACAGGAACAGUCGGGGGCGUCAGUAUUCAGUUGUCAGAGGUGAAAUUCUUGGAUUUACUGAAGACUAACUACUGCGAAAGCAUUUGCCAAGGAUGUUUUCAUUAAUCAGUGAACGAAAGUUAGGGGAUCGAAGACGAUCAGAUACCGUCGUAGUCUUAACCGUAAACUAUGCCGACUAGGGGAUCGGGGCGAUGUUCUUUUUCUGACUCGCUCGGGCACCUUUACGAGAAAUCAAAAGUUUUUUGGGUUCUGGGGGGGAUUAUGGGUCGCAAGGGCUGGAACUUAAAAGAAAAUUGACGGAAAGGUCACCACCCAGCCGUGGAGCCCUGCGGCCUUUAAUUUGACUUCAACACGGGGGAAACUCACCAAGGGCCCGAUGAAAAUAAAGGAUUGACAGAUUUGAGAGUCCUUUCUUUGAUUUUUCUCGUAGUGGGUGCAUGGGCCGUUCCUAAAAUCGUGGCGAGACUUGUGCUGCCUUUAUUGUAUAAACAAGGCAAGAACUCUACUUCUUCCGAAAAAACCAGGCUAACUAU